ensembl:snoRNA small nucleolar RNA, H/ACA box 13
UGCCUUUAGUGUUGCCCAUUCGUUUUGGUUGCUAAUGAAUGUGGUGUCAAAUAAGGCAUAAAGGAAGUUUUCCCUAUUGCAGCCUUUUUCUUUGCAACAUUAGGAAUUAUUCCUAUGGAGUUUGCUGCAUAUGGAACAAAA